UUCCUACGGGGGGCAGCAGUAGGGAAUCUUUCACAAUGGGCGAAAGCCUGAUGGAGCAACGCCGCGUGCAGGAUGAAGGCCUUCGGGUUGUAAACUGCUUUUAUAAGCGAGAAAUAUGAUGGUAACUUAUGAAUAAGGAUCGGCUAACUACGUGCCAGCAGCCGCGGUCAUACGUAGGAUCCGAGCAUUAUCCGGAGUGACUGGGUGUAAAGAGUUGCGUAGGUGGCAUAGUAAGUCAGAUGUGAAAUCCUAUGGCUUAACCAUAGAACUGCAUUUGAAACUGUUAUUCUAGAGUAUGGGAGAGG
rnacentral:rRNA from 1 species